UCUCGCUCUGUCGCCCAGGCUGGAGUGCAGUAUCGCGAUAUCGGUUCGCUGCAAGCUCCGCCUCCCGGGGUCACGUCAUUCUCCUGCCUCAGCUUCCGGAGCAGCUGGGACUGCUGGCGCCCGCCACUACGCUCGGCUAAUUUUUUUGUGUUUUUAGUAGAGACGGGCUUUCACCGUGUUGGCCUAGCGGUUCUCCAACUCCUGACCUCAUGAUCCCCCCGCCUCAGCCUCCCAAAGUGCUGGGAUUACAAGCGUGAGCCACCGCGACCCGCCAACACUCUUGACAACAGUGCUGUGCUAAGAACUUGGGGGACUUCAAAAAGUUCACCAGUUCCUGUGUCCAUGGGUGAAAAGAUUUUCUACAUCUUUCCUUGACUAGAAACAGAAGUCCUGAAACAAGAAUAUAACGUCAGGAGGCCAGAGGCUUUGUCCUGCCUAAUGUGUUAUUUCCACACUGAAUAAAAGCACCUGAGUCCUGAUGGCUGCCUUGAUUCUACUGGAAAGAGAUCAUCUGCAGAAAAGUACAAAAGAGAAGAGCAUAUUAAAAUAUUUUUUAAAAAAACAACCCCAUAGUUUAAGCAGGCAAAAUACUAAAAUUUAUGUUCUAUGGAUGUCAUUAGCCCCCUAGACAUUAUACAGAGAGUGAGAGGAAAAGAGAAGUUUUGGACAUGUCAUUACGUAUUUUUAUGUGGUGAACUAAUGAUUUUUAUUCUGUAGCAUAGACUUAGAUGAUCUCACUGUGACCCACCAUGCUUUGUGCUAGAAAACAAAGGAAAUAGUGACAUAGAAGAGAUGGGCUGCAAGAUUAAGAGCAGCAUCAGGUUUUUCCUUCUUUUUUUAUUAUGUUUUAAGUUCUGGGGUACAUGUGCAGAAUGUGCAGUUUUGUUACAUAGGUAUGCAUGUGCCAUGGUGGUUUGCUGCACCCAUCAACCCGUCAUCUACAUUAGGUAUUUCUCCUAAUGUUAUCACUCCCCAAGACCCCCAAACCAAAACAGGCCCCUUUGUGUGAUGUUACCCUCCCUGUGUCCAUGUGUUCUCACUGUUCAACUCCCACUUAUGAGUGAGGACAUGUGGUGUUUGGUUUUCUGUAUUUGUGUUAGUUUGCUGAGAAUGAUGGUUUCCAGCUUCAUCCAUGUCCCUUCAAAGGACAUGAACGCAUCCUUUUUUAUGGCUGCAUAGUAUUCCAUGCUGUGUAUGUGCCACAUUUUCCUUACCCAGUCUAUCAUUGAUGGGCAUUUAAGUUGGUUCCAAGUCUUUGCUA
rnacentral:lncRNA from 10 species